UCCCUGCAGCGGGGGAUUCCGCCCCCGCCCCGGCUCACUGCGCUUCCCACGUGUCAGUUCCCUAGGCCCCAGCCGCUUGGCCUUCAGGAUCUUGUUCACGUGGUCCAGGUUCUUCUUGGUGGACAGGAUCUUGGUGUAGUUGCACAUCUUCCGCACUUCGCACUGGAUGGCUUCGAUCUCCCGCCGCUUGAACCUCUUCUUCAGGGAGGAGCCGACUGCGGGAGGGGAAGAGAUAAGAAAUUGAGCACAGGAUGCAAGGUGCCUUCAACUCAGCCUCUUCACUGACAGCUAGCAUUCUACUUGGCUAUAAAGAUUAUAGAGAAUUAAUGCUAUGGGUAUGUCUCCGUGCCCAAGAUGCAUUAUUCCUUUUUCUUUAUUAAAAUAAAAACAAACAUUUCUCAAAUAUUCACUGUGCAUGCAAAGUACUUCUAUUGACAUGAUUUCAGUCCUCCCAACAAUUAUGUGAAAUAUUGUUGCUUCCGUUGUAAAGAUGUGGAAACUGAGGCUCAUACUGUGGAGGUAAACUGGCCUAGAGCCGUGGGACUCAAUGGCAGAAUCACAAUAUAAAUCUUCCCAUUAUUUCUCUUAUUAUAUAGGUAAUUUUGUAUUCACCUUUUUGACAUUUGAUCCGAUUCAAUUUAGCAAAGGAUUAGACUUUCUCUUUUUGUAGGUGUUAGAUGAAUAAAAAGGCACGUGGGCCUCCAUAUCAAGCAGAUGUACUAUC
rnacentral:lncRNA from 10 species